CACCGCGGUUAUACGAGAGACUCUAGUUGAUACCAACGGCGUAAAGAGUGGUUUGGGAUGCCCCUUAAAAUAAAGCCAAAGACCUCCCAAGCCGUCAAACGCACCCCGGAGGCACGAAGCCCCAACGCGAAAGCAACUUUACCUCCCUCCCGACGCCACGAAAGCUAAGAAA
rnacentral:rRNA from 1 species